UACGUAGGAGACAAACGUUAUCCGGAGUUACUGGGCGUAAAGGGCGUGUAGGCGGUUUGUUAAGUCUGGCGUGAAAGCUCUCGGCUAAACCGGGAGAGGUCGUGGAUACUGGCGAACUAGAGAUGGUAGAGCGUGUGGAAUUCCGGGUGUAGUGGUGAAAUGCGUAGAGAUCCGGAGGAACACCAGUGGCGAAAGGCGCAGCCGCUGGGCCAUACCUGAACGCUAAAGCGCGACAGCAUGGGGGAGCAAAACGGGG
rnacentral:rRNA from 1 species